AGAACGCUGGCGGCGUGCCUAACACAUGCAAGUCGAACGGACUCAUACUGAAACCUAGUGAUUUAUGAGUUAGUGGCGGACGGGUGAGUAACGCGUGGAUAACCUGCCGUAUACCGGGGGAUAACACUUAGAAAUAGGUGCUAAUACCGGAUGAUUCAUAUUUACAUAAGUAGAUAUGCUAAAAGGAGCUUCGGCUUCACUUCGAGAUGGGCUUGCGUUGUAUUAGCUUGUUGGUGGGGUAAUGGCCUACCAAGGCAACGAUGCAUAUCCGAGCUGAGAGGCUGAUCGGACACACUGGGACUGAGACACGGCCCAGACUCCUACGGGAGACAGCAGUUAGGAAUAUUCGUCAAUGGGGGAAACCCUGAACGAGCAAUGCCGCGUGAGUGAUGAAGGCCCUAUGGGUCGUAAAACUCUGUUGUAGAGAAAGAAACCACGCUAUAGGUAAUGAUAGCGUGCUGACGGUACUCUGCCAGAAAGCCCCGGCUAACUACGUG
rnacentral:rRNA from 1 species